GUUUUAAUAGUUUAAAUAAAAUAAUGAUCUUGUAAAUCAUAGAUAGAUAAUAUAUCUUUAAAACU
rnacentral:tRNA from 1 species